GAUGAACGCUGGCGGCGUGCCUAAUACAUGCAAGUCGAGCGAACGGACGAGAAGCUUGCUUCUCUGAUGUUAGCGGCGGACGGGUGAGUAACACGUGGAUAACCUACCUAUAAGACUGGGAUCACUUCGGGAAACCGUAGCUAAUACCGGAUAAUAUUUUGAACCGCAUGGUUCAAAAGUGAAAGACGGUCUUGCUGUCACUUAUAGAUGGAUCCGCGCUGCAUUAGCUAGUUGGUACGUUAACGGCUUACCAAGGCAACGAUGCAUAGCCGACCUGAGAGGGUGGUCGGCCACACUGGAGCUGAGACACGGUCCAGACUCCUGAGGGAGGCAGCAGUAGGGAAUCUUCCGCAAUGGGCGAAAGCCUGACGGAGCAACGCCGCGUGAGAGAUGAAGGUCUUCGGAUCGUAAAACUCUGUUAUUAGGGAAAAACAUAUGUGUAAGUAACUGUGCACAUCUUGACGGUACCUAAUCAGAAAGCCACGGCUAACUACGUG
rnacentral:rRNA from 1 species